GGAGGGAUCAUUACUGAGUUUACGCUCUAUAACCCUUUGUGAACAUACCUAUAACUGUUGCUUCGGCGGGUAGGGUCUCCGUGACCCUCCCGGCCUCCCGCCCCCGGGCGGGUCGGCGCCCGCCGGAGGAUAACCAAACUCUGAUUUAACGACGUUUCUUCUGAGUGGUACAAGCAAAUAAUCAAAACUUUUAACAACGGAUCUCUUGGUUCUGGCAUCGAUGAAGAACGCAGCGAAAUGCGAUAAGUAAUGUGAAUUGCAGAAUUCAGUGAAUCAUCGAAUCUUUGAACGCACAUUGCGCCCGCCAGCAUUCUGGCGGGCAUGCCUGUUCGAGCGUCAUUUCAACCCUCAAGCUCUGCUUGGUGUUGGGGCCCUACAGCUGAUGUAGGCCCUCAAAGGUAGUGGCGGACCCUCCCGGAGCCUCCUUUGCGUAGUAACUUUACGUCUCGCACUGGGAUCCGGAGGGACUCUUGCCGUAAAACCCCCAAUUUUCCAAAGGUUGACCUCGGAUCAGGUAGGAAUACCCGCUGAACUUAAGCAUAUCAAUAAGCGGAGGAAAAGAAACCAACAGGGAUUGCCUCAGUAACGGCGAGUGAAGCGGCAACAGCUCAAAUUUGAAAUCUG
rnacentral:rRNA from 1 species